rnacentral:tRNA from 1 species
GCCGCUCUGGUGAAAUUGGUAGACACGCUGGUUUUAGGUACCAGUUGAGCGAUCAGUCCCAGUUCGAGUCUGGGGAGCGGCACCA